GGCUCCAUAGCUCUGCGGUUAGAGCACCUGUCUAGUAAAAAGGAGGUCGAGGGUUUGAUCCCCUCUGGAGCCU